GAUGAAGAACGUAGCGAAAUGCGAUAAGUAGUGUGAAUUGCAGAAUUCAGUGAAUCAUCAAAUCUUUGAACGCACAUUGCGCCCUUUGGUAUUCCUUAGGGCAUGCCUGUUCGAGCGUCAUUUAAACCUUCAAGCUCAGCUUGGUGUUGGGUGACUGUCCGCUUCACCGCGGACUCGCCUCAAAAUUAUUGGCGGCCGGUACAUUGGCUCUCGAGCGCAGCAGAAACGCGUAACUCGAGGUCCUCGUGCUGGCUCCCAGAAGCUAUCUUCACAAUUUUGACCUCGGAUCAGGUAGGGAUACCCGCUGAACUUAAGCAUAUCAAUAAGCGGAGGA
rnacentral:misc_RNA from 1 species